UUCCCCUAGUAACGGCGAGUGAAGCGGGAACAGCUCAAAUUUGAAAUCUGGCCCUUGGGUCCGAGUUGUAAUUUGCAGAGGAUGCUUUUGGUGCGGUGCCUUCCGAGUUCCCUGGAACGGGACGCCUUAGAGGGUGAGAGCCCCGUACGGUUGGCCACCAAGCCUGUGUAAAGCUCCUUCGACGAGUCGAGUAGUUUGGGAAUGCUGCUCAAAAUGGGAGGUAUAUUUCUUCUAAAGCUAAAUACUGGCCAGAGACCGAUAGCGCACAAGUAGAGUGAUCGAAAGAUGAAAAGCACUUUGAAAAGAGGGUUAAAUAGCACGUGAAAUUGUUGAAAGGGAAGGAUUUAUGACCAGACUUUUUCUAGGGGGAUCAUCCGGUGUUCUCACCGGUGCACUUCCCCUAGUUGAGGCCAGCAUCGGUUUCUGUCGGGGGAUAAAAGCUUCAGGAAUGUGGCUCCCUCCGGGGAGUGUUAUAGCCUGUUGCAUAAUACCCUGACGGGGACCGAGGUUCGCGCAUUGCAAGGAUGCUGGCGUAAUGGUUAUUAAUCACCCG
rnacentral:rRNA from 1 species